ACCUAUAGUUCUACAGUCCACAUGUAAAUCCUUCUCUUUUUGGUCUACAGUCCUCCCCUCCCCGGCUCUCACUCCGCCGCCCCAGGGACGCCGCGAAGGUCCUCCUCUGGCUCUGCCGCGCCGACUCCCCCGAGUUUUGCAGGCUCGAGGUCUACGAGAUCGCCAUCGGAGGGUUUUGCAGGCUCGGGAGAAUGCUCGAUGCGCUAAGGAUCGUGUUCUGAGUCUUGUGACUUCUGAGAGGAGGGGGUUUGUGGGGUACGGGGUUUGCUUCCGGAGAGGCGAGGGGAACUAUCAAUUUUUGGAGAAAAUUUUUG
rnacentral:lncRNA from 1 species